rnacentral:rRNA from 1 species
AUACGGAGGGUGCAAGCGUUAAUCGGAAUUACUGGGCGUAAAGCGCGCGUAGGCGGCUUGGUAAGUCGGAUGUGAAAUCCCCGGGCUUAACCUGGGAAUUGCAUUCGAUACUGUCAGGCUAGAGUGUGAUAGAGGGAAGUGGAAUUUCCGGUGUAGCGGUGAAAUGCGUAGAUAUCGGAAGGAACACCAGUGGCGAAGGCGGCUUCCUGGACCAACACUGACGCUGAGGCGCGAAAGCGUGGGGAGCAAACAGAAUUAGAAACCCUUGUAGUCC